GCUCCACGUUUUCUUCCCCCCUCUCUUCCUCUCUCUCUUCUAAUUCGAAAAACCCUAGCCCUAAACCUUUGAUUUCACCCAUUUUCACCAAGAAUCCAUCUUUGAUCGUGUAAUAAAAGUGAAGAACAAGCCUAGAUCAACAUCUUGACUAAUUAGUUUGUGCUCUCCUUGAGGUUUCUUAUGGGGUCUUCAUCUUGUAGCUUCUAUCUUUGAGGACUUGAUGGUGUGACUCCGCCCAAAUGACAAGGCGGUGGAGAUUUUGAAUGGAGCAUGAGAGCUCAUUGGAUGUUAUGUGUUAAAGUUCCAGGGCCAUUAUGUGUUUUUGGGACAAAUGUUCAUCUUUUUGUGUAAUUAAGGCAAUGCCCUUGAAACUUGUACACCAUUAGGGCAUCUUUACUUUGUUUUCUCUAACUCUUGAAACUAUAAUUUGUAUUGUAAACACAUGAUGUAACAGUUUUGAAUUAAUUCAAUGAGAAAUAGACUUACUUAACGAAA